CGACAGACCAUUGUAGAUGAAAAAGAUGGUGAAUUGUGAUUCUGGUAUCGCACUUUAAGUUAGAAACUUUGUUUUACCAAAUUUGAAUAAGUUUGCUCUUGCUCUAAGAAAAAAUAAUUGAAUAAAGUGUUUAUAAUAUUGUUAUCUUUAUCACUUUUUAUACCUGUUCAGGCUUUUUAUAAGUUGAUAAACACUGCCUUUAAAAAAACUUGAUUCAAAUUAUAUUAUUUAGAUUUCGGAUUUCAUCAAAUACCAUGUAUACGAAAUUCAAACACUAUAUGAUGGAGUUUUCUAUCGUAGCCAAUUGCUUUUUCAUUUUGGUCGCAGUUGUCACCGGAUCUAUUGCUCUUUCCAACGACCGUGUUGCCCUUGGAUUAGUGACGAUAUUUACAAUCGCAACUCCGGGGCUCGUGAUGUUCCUGCUGGUGUGUCUUCACCGUAGCUGCAGAUUGUACGAGACACACCCGAAGAACUUGCUAGUUUUCACUGCUGUUUUUUGUGCAGUUGCUCUAGCUGAUAUGACUACAGCGGCUCUAUAUGCAGCCAAGGCAAGCCACUACGGAGAAAAAGGAAUGCACUUGGACGGCAACAGAAUUUUCCUGCUUCCUUGCCUAUUCGGAAUCGUGUUGAGUAUCUUCAACGGAUCAAUUGUUUCAACGGUCUACACAAAAAUUACGGAUAAAAAACUGUUCUAAACAUCAGGAAUCAAAAUUAAAUAUUGUGUGACGGAGUUUGCAAAUUCACUAUAUAUUAAGUAGUCUGCAUACGUUGCCUCAGUUUU